rnacentral:rRNA from 1 species
UGGGGAAUAUUGCACAAUGGGCGCAAGCUUGAUGCAGCAACGCCGCGUGCGGGAUGACGGCCUUCGGGUUGUAAACCGCUUUCAGUUCCGACGAAGCGCAAGUGACGGUAGGAACAGAAGAAGGACCGGCCAACUACGUGCCAGCAGCCGCGGUGAUACGUAGGGUCCGAGCGUUGUCCGGAAUUAUUGGGCGUAAAGGGCUUGUAGGCGGUUUGUCACGUCGGAAGUGAAAACUCAGGGCUUAACCCUGAGCCUGCUUCCGAUACGGGCAAACUAGAGGAAUGCAGGGGAGAAUGGAAUUCCUGGUGGAGCGGUGGAAUGCGCAGAUAUCAGGAGGAACACCGGUGGCGAAAGGCGGUUCUCCGGGGCAUUUCCUGACGCUGAGAAGCGAAAAGCGUGGGGAGCAAACAGGCUUAGAUACCCUGGUAGUCCACGCCGUAAAACGGUGGGCACUAGGUGUGGGGGAACAUUCCACGUUCUCCGUGCCGAAGCU